CACUCACAAGCAAAUCCUAUUGUUUGCUGCAAACCCUGCCCCUGCUAAACCAAGCCCAGUGUGAUGGGCAAGUUUGUUUUUACCCUGAAAUAAAAUAGUUUUCUGUAGCAUACUGUUAGGUUAACAAUAAUUUAGAUUAUUAAAUAGUAUUAGCUUUGUAGCUAAACACAAGGCAUGACCUGUGGCCUAGCAAUGUUGCUGACCACAAGACAGAAUGAUAAUUAAGCCAGCCAUUUUCUUAUGUCAAGUACCUUAACCAUUUUGUUAGAAAAAAGCAGAAAUUAAGUCUGUGUACUGAGUACCAGCUGCAGCUAGGAGUGAGAUAAGAUAAGGCGGGCCCAGAGGGAAGAAGAUGGUACAGUGGAGUACAGGAAAACAGAUUGGAAUGUUAGAAUGUUAAACGCAUGCACCAAGGAAUAUUAAUGGAACACGCUUGGCUGUGGCAAGGAGAAGAGAACCUUCCACCUGGGCCCUUGGAUGAUCAGUGCUGAAAAAGCAAGGAAGUCACGCUGUGUUACCACCCCAGC